rnacentral:rRNA from 15 species
UUAAAUUGAAGAGUUUGAUCAUGGCUCAGAUUGAACGCUGGCGGCAGGCCUAACACAUGCAAGUCGAACGGUAACAGGAAGCAGCUUGCUGCUUCGCUGACGAGUGGCGGACGGGUGAGU